rnacentral:rRNA from 1 species
CCAGACAGCCAGGAUGUUGGCUUAGAAGCAGCCAUCAUUUAAAGAAAGCGUAAUAGCUCACUGGUCGAGUCGGCCUGCGCGGAAGAUGUAACGGGGCUAAACCAUGCACCGAAGCUGCGGCAGCGACGCUUAUGCGUUGUUGGGUAGGGGAGCGUUCUGUAAGCCUGCGAAGGUGUACUGUGAGGUAUGCUGGAGGUAUCAGAAGUGCGAAUGCUGACAUAAGUAACGAUAAAGCGGGUGAAAAGCCCGCUCGCCGGAAGAC